rnacentral:rRNA from 1 species
AAACUUAAAGGAAUUGACGGGGCCCGCACAAGCGGUGGAGCAUGUGGUUAAUUCGACGCAACGCGAAGAACCUUACCAGGGCUUGACAUCCCCUGACCGCGUAUGAAAGUACGUUUUCACCCUCGGGUGACAGGGAGACAGGUGGUGCAUGGUUGUCGUCAGCUCGUGUCGUGAGAUGUUGGGUUAAGUCCCGCAACGAGCGCAACCCCUACGUUUAGUUGCUAACGCGUGAAGGCGAGCACUCUAGACGAACUGCCGUUGACAAAACGGAGGAAGGUGGGGAUGACGUCAAAUCAUCAUGCCCCUUAUGACCUGGGCUACACACGUGCUACAAUGGUUGGUACAACGAGUUGCGAGUCGGUGACGGCGAGCUAAUCUCUUAAAGCCAAUCUCAGUUCGGAUUGUAGGCUGCAACUCGCCUACAUGAAGUCGGAAUCGCUAGUAAUCGCGGAUCAGCACGCCGCGGUGAAUACGUUCCCGGGCCUU